GGGAUAUGGGAAAAAGAUGGACUUAGGUUGAGCACUGUUUCAUAAGUUUGGUUGGAAAGUCCUCAAGAGAUGUGUGGGCAGUACGAAGAUAGAGUUGGACUGUUCUCAGUGUUCCACCAGGAGGAAAUUGAAAUGUCAAGUGUUCCAUGCAUUUGAGCCCAUGAGUUAAGGAUGUGGGAUUCAGCGCUCGAGUGUCCAGACACAGAGAAGAUAGGAGGGAAAAGAUUUCUUCUCAGAUGUCUCUUAAGAGCACUGACUCCAGCUGCGACCAGAGCAUGGGGAAAUAGUCUUCAUUUGGCAGAUCUGGGCCACAGGACUGGAAAAAUCAUUUGAACAGCUCCUGCUACAUGAUUAGAUCCUGCAAGUCUACAUGCAUUCUGCUUGUAUUCUGAAUGGUCUUCUGAGGCUUGGUGCUUCUGUUGACCUGUUGAUGGAGUAUUGCUCAAACACUGAUAAAUUCAUGUCUUUGUAAGUCAGAGGUGUAUGAGUAUGGAGAAUGAAACAGUUUAUAUAUAACGUCUGUUUGGGAGGUGUGUGGUGUUUGUAUGGGGAUAGCACAGAGAGGAAGUUAGGAUAUUAGCCAGUGAGAAUGCUCAACAAAUAUUGAUUAUUGAGUCCGAAUUAGGAAAAGAUGUGUGGACAUCUUUUGGAGGUAACAGCCAUGCUGAAGGGAAGUCACUGUGCAGAUUAGCAGUCGAGCUCAAAUGUGUGCUCUAUUGCUAGGCAAGGGAUCAGUCCUUUCCUUAUGGUAUUCUGCGCUUAAAUAAAUUGAAGUCAGCUCUGGAGUUAUAAAUUUACCUUUUUCUCCCAAGUUUUGUUUCUUUGUCAUCCUUUCCAGGUCAGCUUUUAGAGCAAAGCACAGCAAGAAUAUCAGCAAACUAGGGGUAUAAAGAUUUGUGUGCAUCCAGCUGUUCAGUACUAGCACAAAGCUGGCUGUAAGCACAGAACAUGUAUCCAAAAGGAGCAGGGCAGAUCCUGGAGCAGUGUGUUGGUGCAGUGAGCAGGGCUGGUGUGCCCAGGUGGGACACUAUGCUGAUUCUGUCCCUCUGUGUCCUGGUGGAGAAGGAGAUCUCUGCAGAGGUCUGUGCUGAGCAAUGAUAAAUGUGUUCCAGGACUGAACUCACUGCAUUGCUAUGCUUGUGUGAAAUUGGUAAUUAAUAAUAUUUUCAAAAUAUUGAUGUGAUAGGAGACAGAUGUGUUCCAAUCAGUUAAAUUUUCUGUGAAAAAAAUAAACCACUUAAUGGAAGUGCAGUGGCUAAAAGUUUGUGAUUUCAAUGCAUCUUUUCCUUCUCCGAAAGGAAAGUGAUUGACUAGAUGUACUUUGUUUUUCGUGCAGAAAUCCCAAUCGAAUUUGAAAUGAAUUCACAUGUGAAGGAAGGUUGGUUCGGUCCACCUUUCUGUAUCUGGUUACAGUUUGCUCUCAGAGUAUGUAUAAUCAUUUGCUGGGAAUGUUCUCAUAUGUAGGAGUACGUACUACAAUCUGUGCCAGUUUAAGCUUAAGUACUGUCCAAGGACUUGGGAAGGAUUGUUGUGAAAUACAAGAAUAACAAGAAAGCUUUGUUUUUCCAGCAUCUGAAAGGAUAAUAAAAUUCUUUCCUUCUUUGAUUUUAAUUUGUUUGGUAUAGAAGAAAC